rnacentral:lncRNA from 1 species
ACAAUCUGAAAGUUAUGUUCUUAACUCAAUUUUAUUGAGCAAGCAACUUUAAGAAUGUCAAACUGCAGGUUGACAAUAAACGUACAAGUGAUCAUCUUAUAUCGCUGCAUCUUAAUAAAUCAGAUGACUGGUGAAUGGGCCCAUGUUCAAUACUCAGUAUGCACAUCUUUGAGAUGCCGCAAUUGUUUAUGUCAAUUUAUGAAUUUUUAUUCUAGCAAAUUUCAAGUUUACUAUGAC